ensembl:lncRNA
CACUUAUCGUGUCGCCAUGACGACUGUCUCCCAUGGCAGCUCACACUUUAAGCAACCUGACAAAAGCUGAUUUCAGUGCUCGCUUGAAAUGUGAAGAAUGAGAAAGAUAUGAUAAGAGAGCCAUUAUCUCAGGGGCGGCCUCGGUCUUCAGGAGGAGCGUCGUGGUCUGGCCUGCUGGUUUGUAUGUCGGGCGGGGCGGAAGAAAAGGAAACGUCCCGCUGCCGGCCAGCCCGACGUGGAGGAGGAGGAGAACUUUUUAUUUUUUUAUUAUCGCUUUUCUACGGCAUUUCUACGUUUUUUUUUUUUUUUUUUUUUUUUUAUUCUAUUUUUUUUUA